rnacentral:rRNA from 1 species
UACGGAGGAUCCAAGCGUUAUCCGGAAUCAUUGGGUUUAAGGGGUCCGUAGGCGGUUUUGUAAGUCAGUGGUGAAAGCCCAUCGCUCAACGGUGGAACGGCCAUUGAUACUGCAAGACUUGAAUUAUUAGGAAGUAACUAGAAUAUGUAGUGUAGCGGUGAAAUGCUUAGAGAUUACAUGGAAUACCAAUUGCGAAGGCAGGUUACUACUAGUGGAUUGACGCUGAUGGACGAAAGCGUGGGGAGCGAACAGG